rnacentral:antisense_RNA from 1 species
CGAGGGCGGGGGAAAGUGGAGGGAACGGUCCUGCGGGGCGUUCUGUCCAAGAAAAAGGACUGCAGCCUCGGGGAGCCAGCGUACCCUCGCAGAUGAGCUGCCAACGCCACGGAGCCGUUUCUGUUCCACCCUAGGGGAGAAGUAGGGGGAUAUCUUUGUAAAAGUUUAAUUGCAAAAUAAGUAGGUUAGUAAGGCCAUUUGUGGUUGCUGUUUCAGUAACUUCAGCAGUCAACGGAGAGGAGUGGAAACCUUACUGGAUGCGGACAGGAGAGCCAGUUACUGAAGGCAAAUAUAAUAACGCGGAUCCUGUAAAGAGUGGUGUGUAUACAAAAACAAAAAACAAAAAAAAAAACUGUACAAUGUAUUUUAAAACUUGUGUACACAAAACCAAAGAUUUUCUUUUUUACCUAGUCCAAAUGCCGUCCUAGCCUGAGUCCUGCUCUUUAUAAAAAUAAAAUAAAAAGAAUUUGAAGCUUGUGAAAGUC